rnacentral:rRNA from 1 species
CAGAGGUCCCAAGCGUUGUUCGGAUUCACUGGGCGUAAAGGGUGCGUAGGUGGUAAGGCAAGUCAGGUGUGAAAUCUCCGGGCUCAACCCGGAAAUGGCAUUCGAAACUACCUUGCUAGAGGGUUUGAGGGGGGACUGGAAUACUUGGUGUAGCAGUGAAAUGCGUAGAUAUCAAGUGGAACACCAGUGGCGAAGGCGAGUCCCUGGAAAACUCCUGACACUGAGGCACGAAAGCUAGGGGAGCAAACAGGAUUAGAUACCCUGGUAGUCCUAGCCCUAAACGGCGCUUGCUUGCUGUAAGAGGAAUCGACCCCUCUUGUGGCGGAGCUAACGCGUUAAGCAAGCCGCCUGGGAAGUACGGUCGCAAGAUUA